UACGUAGGGCGCAAGCGUUGUCCGGAAUUAUUGGGCGUAAAGAGCUCGUAGGUGGCGUGUCGCGUCUGCCGUGAAAGCCCAUGGCUUAACUGUGGGUCUGCGGUGGAUACGGGCAGGCUGGAGGCUGGUAGGGGCAAGCGGAAUUCCUGGUGUAGCGGUGAAAUGCGUAGAUAUCCGGAGGAACACCGGUGGCGAAGGCGGCUUCCUGGACCGACACUGACGCUGAGGCGCGAAAGCUAGGGGAGCAAACGGG
rnacentral:rRNA from 1 species